CUGUGAAUAUUCUUGCUCUUCUGAUAUUGUAAUAAUCCAGGAAGGCUAAACAUUCACUAUAUUAAAACCAUAUAUGUGUCCCAAGACCUACAUCUUUUCCUAGGUCUGGUUUUACAAAUGCUGGUGAUAAAC
ensembl:snoRNA SNORA72 Small nucleolar RNA SNORA72